rnacentral:antisense_RNA from 1 species
AGAAGGGCUUCCGCGGUUCGCCGUUCGGGGGCCUUUUUCUUUUGC